rnacentral:rRNA from 1 species
UAGUGGAAUGACACCGCUGUGACGACGUCCAAUCCCAUCUGAUCUUGGAAGCUAAGUGCGGUCGGGCCCGGUUAGUACUUGGAUGGGAGACCGCCUGGGAAUACCUGAUACUGU